rnacentral:tRNA from 1 species
UCAUUCAACUACAAGAACCUUA